CAAAAUAUAGCUAAGGAGUAAGCUCCUCUUUUACGCAGAGGAAAAUACCUGUGCAACUCAGGUUGUUUUGA
rnacentral:tRNA from 1 species